CCUACGGGGGGCAGCAGUGAGGAAUAUUGGUCAAUGGCCGGAAGGCUGAACCAGCCAAGCCGCGUGAAGGACGAAGGUGCCAAGCAUUGUAAACUUCUUUUGUCAAGGGACAAAAUCAGGCUCGAGAGCCUGACCGAGGGUACUUGAAGAAAAAGCAUCGGCUAACUCCGGGCCAGCAGCCGCGGUAAUACGGAGGAUGCGAGCGUUAUCCGGAGUUAGUGGGUUUAAUGGGUGCGUAGGCGGGCUGUUAAGUCAGCGGUAAAAGCCCGGGGCUCAACCCCGGCGAGCCGUUGAAACUGGCUGUCUUGAGAUGUCGAGAGGUAUGCGGAAUGCGCAGUGUAGCGGUGAAAUGCUUAGAUAUCGCGCAGAACCCCGAUUGCGAAGGCAGCGUACCGGCUCCACAAUGACGCUGAGGCACGAAAGCGUGGGUAUCGAACAGGAUUAGAUACCCGGGUAGUC
rnacentral:rRNA from 1 species